UUCCGGAUUGUCAGUCUGAGCUGUUUCCGCCGCCAUUGCGAGUCUGAGCGACUCCCAUCCGUGCAGAGAGGGUAGAAAAAAAAACAUCAGCCAUCUGGCGGAUUGGCUUGACACGACGAAAACACGAUACUUGCAUUCACCGUGUAAUUUACGCAGCACUCCUGUAUUUGAUUUAUAUUGAAUCGGGGUUGUCCGUGGAGAGGAGGUCGUCGCUCGUUAAAGCUAGGCAGAAAUAUUGCGAGGAGUCCGGCCGGGAGGAUUGUGAGCAGAAAGCCAAAACCAUGGCUCAGAUCCUGCCUAUCCGCUUUCAGGAGCACCUGCAGCUCCAGAAUCUGGGCAUAAACCCAGCAAAUAUUGGGUUUAGUACCCUCACGAUGGAGUCAGAUAAGUUCAUCUGUAUCCGGGAGAAGGUGGGUGAACAGGCCCAGGUGGUGAUCAUCGAUAUGAGUGAUCCAAACACACCCAUCCGCAGGCCCAUCUCUGCAGACAGUGCCAUAAUGAACCCAGCCAGUAAAGUCAUUGCUCUUAAAGCUGCAAAAACCCUUCAAAUUUUCAACAUUGAAAUGAAGAGCAAGAUGAAAGCCCAUACCAUGACCGAAGAUGUUACAUUUUGGAAGUGGAUCUCUCUCAAUACCGUAGCACUUGUGACAGACAAUGCCGUCUAUCACUGGAGUAUGGAAGGAGACUCACAGCCUAUCAAAGUCUUUGACCGACAUUCCAGUUUAGCUGGCUGUCAAAUUAUUAACUACCGCACUGACGCCAAACAGAAAUGGCUGCUCCUUAUUGGAAUUUCAGCACAGCAAAACAGGGUUGUGGGUGCAAUGCAACUUUACUCCGUGGACAGAAAGGUGUCACAACCAAUCGAAGGCCACGCUGCUGGGUUUGCCCAGUUCAAAAUGGAGGGGAAUGCUGAGGAAUCCACACUAUUCUGCUUUGCUGUUCGGGGACAAGCUGGAGGAAAGUUGCACAUUAUUGAGGUUGGAACACCUCCGUCAGGUAAUCAACCUUUUCCAAAGAAAGCAGUGGAUGUGUUCUUCCCUCCAGAGGCCCAGAAUGAUUUCCCAGUUGCUAUGCAGAUAAGCUCCAAGCAUGAUGUUGUCUUUCUCAUCACCAAAUAUGGCUACAUCCACCUAUAUGACCUUGAGACUGGCACAUGCAUCUACAUGAACAGGAUCAGUGGAGAGACCAUUUUUGUGACCGCACACCAUGAUGCCACUUCUGGAAUUAUUGGUGUUAACCGGAAGGGACAGGUGCUAUCUGUGUGUGUGGAGGAAGAAAACAUCAUUCCUUACAUCACCAAUGUGCUGCAGAACCCUGACCUGGCCCUCAGGAUGGCUGUCCGUAACAACUUGGCAGGCGCCGAAGAGCUGUUCGCACGCAAAUUCAACAACCUUUUCGCUGGCGGCAACUAUUCUGAAGCUGCCAAAGUGGCUGCCAAUGCACCAAAGGGCAUUCUGCGCAUCCCAGACACCAUCCAUCGCUUCCAGAGUGUUCCUGCCCAGCCUGGUCAGACCUCUCCCCUGCUGCAGUACUUUGGGAUACUGUUGGAUCAGGGCCAGCUGAACAAGUUUGAGUCAUUAGAGCUUUGCAGGCCAGUGCUGCAGCAGGGUCGCAAACAGCUUCUGGAGAAAUGGCUCAAGGAAGAUAAGCUGGAGUGUUCUGAAGAGCUUGGCGAUUUAGUAAAGUCUGUGGAUCCAACUCUUGCUCUCAGUGUCUAUCUGAGGGCAAAUGUUCCCAAUAAGGUUAUUCAGUGCUUUGCAGAGACCGGGCAGUUCCAGAAAAUUGUACUGUAUGCGAAAAAGGUUGGCUACUCUCCAGAUUGGAUCUUCCUGUUGAGGAAUGUGAUGCGGAUUAGUCCAGAACAAGGCCUGCAGUUCUCUCAAAUGCUUGUUCAGGAUGAGGAACCUCUGGCUGACAUCACUCAGAUUGUGGACGUGUUUAUGGAGUAUAACCUGAUCCAGCAGUGCACUUCUUUCCUGUUGGAUGCCCUGAAGAACAACCGCCCCACCGAGGGUCCUUUGCAAACCCGUCUGCUGGAGAUGAACCUGAUGCAUGCUCCACAGGUGGCUGAUGCCAUCUUGGGCAACCAGAUGUUCACUCACUAUGACCGGGCUCAUGUGGCUCAGCUUUGUGAGAAGGCAGGUCUUCUGCAGAGAGCUCUGGAGCACUACACUGACCUAUUUGACAUUAAACGUGCCGUGGUCCACACCCAUCUGCUGAACCCAGAGUGGCUGGUGAACUUCUUUGGCUCUCUGUCUGUGGAGGACUCUCUAGAGUGUCUGAGAGCAAUGCUAUCUGCCAACAUAAGGCAGAACCUCCAGAUCUGCGUCCAGGUGGCCUCCAAGUAUCACGAGCAGCUCUCCACCCAGUCGCUCACAGAGCUUUUUGAGUCCUUCAAGAGCUUUGAGGGUCUGUUCUACUUCCUGGGCUCCAUUGUAAACUUCAGCCAGGAUCCUGAGGUUCAUUUCAAAUAUAUUCAAGCUGCCUGCAAAACUGGCCAAAUCAAGGAAGUGGAGAGAAUCUGCAGAGAGAGCAACUGCUAUGAUCCUGACCGUGUGAAAAACUUCCUCAAGGAGGCUAAACUGACUGACCAGCUGCCCCUCAUUAUUGUGUGUGACCGUUUUGACUUUGUCCACGACCUUGUGCUCUACCUUUAUCGCAACAACCUGCAGAAGUACAUUGAGAUCUAUGUGCAGAAGGUAAACCCCAGCCGCUUACCUGUGGUGAUCGGAGGUCUGCUGGAUGUGGACUGCUCUGAGGAUGUCAUAAAGAACCUCAUUUUGGUGGUGAGAGGCCAGUUCUCCACAGACGAACUGGUGGCCGAGGUGGAGAAAAGAAACAGACUGAAGCUGCUCCUGCCAUGGUUGGAGGCCCGUAUCCAUGAGGGCUGUGAAGAACCUGCAACUCAUAAUGCCCUGGCUAAGAUCUAUAUCGACAGCAACAACAACCCAGAACGCUUCCUCAGAGAGAACCCAUACUAUGACAGCUGUGUGGUGGGCAAGUACUGCGAGAAGAGGGACCCCCACCUGGCCUGUGUGGCCUAUGAAAGAGGACAGUGUGACCAAGAGCUCAUCCAUGUUUGCAAUGAGAACUCCCUCUUCAAGAGUCUGUCCCGAUACCUUGUGCGUCGCAAAGACCCUGAUCUAUGGGCUAGCGUGCUUCUGGAAAGCAACCCUUACAGGAGACCUCUGAUUGACCAGGUUGUGCAGACUGCCCUCUCUGAGACCCAGGAUCCAGAGGAGGUCUCUGUUACAGUCAAAGCUUUCAUGACCGCUGACCUACCCAAUGAGCUCAUUGAACUCCUGGAGAAGAUUGUCCUGGACAACUCUGUUUUCUGUGAACACAGAAACCUGCAGAAUCUUCUGAUCCUGACUGCCAUCAAAGCUGACCGCACUCGUGUCAUGGAGUACAUCAACCGCCUGGACAACUAUGAUGCCCCGGACAUCGCUAACAUCGCCAUCAGUAAUGAGCUUUUUGAGGAGGCUUUUGCCAUCUUCAGGAAGUUUGAUGUGAACACAUCAGCAGUGCAGGUUCUUAUUGAGCACAUUGGGAAUCUGGACCGGGCUUACGAAUUCGCUGAGCGCUGUAAUGAUCCGGCAGUGUGGAGUCAGUUGGCUAAAGCUCAACUGCAGAAAGGUCUUGUGAAAGAGGCCAUUGACUCGUACAUAAAAGCUGAUGACCCGUCAGCUUACAUGGAAGUGGGACAAGCUGCGGCCCAAAGCGGAAACUGGGAGGACCUUGUCAAAUUUCUGCAGAUGGCCCGUAAGAAGGCCCGUGAAUCAUAUGUGGAGACUGAGCUGAUCUUUGCCCUGGCCAAGACUAACCGUCUGGCUGAACUAGAAGAGUUUAUCAAUGGGCCAAACAAUGCACACAUCCAACAAGUUGGUGACAGAUGCUAUGAUGAGAAGAUGUAUGAGGCAGCUAAACUACUUUAUAACAAUGUUUCCAACUUUGGCCGCCUGGCAUCCACUUUGGUGCAUCUUGGGGAGUAUCAGGCUGCUGUUGAUGGGGCCCGCAAAGCCAACAGCACAAGAACCUGGAAAGAGGUUUGCUUUGCCUGUGUUGAUGGGAAUGAGUUCCGUCUGGCUCAGAUGUGUGGAUUGCAUAUUGUUGUUCAUGCCGAUGAACUUGAAGAGCUCAUCAACUACUACCAGGAUCGUGGUUAUUUCGAGGAGUUGAUCACCCUGCUGGAGGCAGCGCUGGGGCUGGAGCGUGCUCACAUGGGCAUGUUUACAGAACUGGCCAUCCUCUAUUCCAAAUUUAAACCACAGAAGAUGAGGGAGCACCUGGAGCUCUUCUGGUCUAGAGUUAAUAUUCCCAAGGUUUUGAGGGCAGCUGAGCAGGCUCACCUGUGGGGAGAGUUAGUCUUCCUGUAUGAUAAGUAUGAGGAGUAUGACAAUGCCAUCAUCACCAUGAUGAACCAUCCUUCAGAUGCCUGGAAGGAGAGCCAGUUCAAAGACAUCAUAACUAAGGUGGCCAAUGUUGAGCUGUAUUACAAAGCGGUCCAGUUCUAUUUGGAGUUUAAACCUUUGUUACUGAAUGACCUGCUGAUCGUACUCUCCCCACGGCUUGACCACACUCGUGCGGUCAACUUCUUCAGCAAGGUCAAGCAAUUGCCAUUGGUGAAACCAUACCUGAGAUCUGUACAGAACCACAACAACAAGUCUGUAAAUGAAGCACUAAAUAAUCUCUUCAUCACAGAGGAGGAUUAUCAGGCUCUGCGCACAUCCAUCGAUGCCUAUGACAACUUCGACAACAUAUCUCUGGCUCAAAGCCUUGAGAAGCACGAACUCAUAGAAUUCAGGCGAAUUGCCGCCUACCUCUUCAAAGGCAACAACCGCUGGAAGCAGAGCGUUGAGCUCUGCAAGAAAGACAAGCUCUACAAGGAUGCAACGCAGUACGCUUCAGAGUCGAAAGACACUGAGCUGGCCGAGGAGCUGCUGCAGUGGUUCUUGCUGGAGGAUAAGAAAGAGUGUUUUGCCGCCUGCCUCUUCACCUGCUAUGACCUGCUGAGGCCCGAUGUGGUUAUGGAGACCGCAUGGAGGCACAACCUCAUGGACUUCUCCAUGCCCUACUUCAUCCAGGUCAUGAGGGAGUACCUCACCAAGGUUGAUGCAAUUAAGGAAAAGAUUGAUAAAUUGGAUGCUUCAGAGUCUUUAAGGAAAGAAGAAGAGCAGCUUACAGAGGCACAACCCAUUGUUUAUGUGUCUGGGAGUCAGAAACUGUAAGGCCCAGAGAUCUCAUACUUGGUGGGAUGGUCCCAAAUCCCACCUACUACUCAGGCACAUCCCAGCUGAUGCUCACCGCAGGCCCUAAUGUUGCAGUGCCCCCACAGCAGUCUUACGGCUAUGGCUACCCCACAGUGCCUGGCUAUGGCCAGCCCGCACAGCCCGGCUUUGGCUAUGGCAUGUAAAGCCCUCCUGCCCACAUCUGUCCAUCCAUCUCUCCUUAAGUUCUCUAGAAACUUAUUGUGGUCUACUCACAAGCUUAUAUAAAGUAAAAAAAAAAAAAAAGAAAGAAAUAUGCAUUUUUAAAUUAUUUUCCUUACAAUGCAAUGAAGGACAUUUUUAUUUGUGUUGUCAAAAAAUAAUCAGACCACAUUUUUUUUUAUUUCACAUUCCAUAUUUAAGACUACUUCUGUCACUAGUUUUCUUUUUGUGAGCUGAUUUUUAUUGGGGGCAAAAGUUGUGUAUGUAAAUGUUGUGAAGCAUCUGAUUUGCACUCUGCUGUGAGAGGAAACUAAUGUAGAAUCUCUUAAUUUUGAUGUAUGUGAAAAGCUUACACUGUCUGUUUAAUGCAUUUCAUUAUUGUAUAUUCAGAAAAAGGUUAAAACAAUAUUUUAACAUGAACAUGUGCAUCCAUGUGUACGUUUAGCUAACACUAAGUAAUAAUCUGAUGUUCUACACAAAUAUGUAGCUGUAUGCCGAUUUUAAGCGCAUACAGUCAUGAAUAUAGUAAACGAUUUGAAUCCCUUAGAUUAAACCGGUUCCCCAAUUGACCUCAUAGUUCUUAACAUCUCAUUCAAUCUGUGUGUAACAGGUGACCUUUCCUUGUAUUGAAUACAGUGCUCUUUCUUGUGUGAAUCCAUUUUCAGAAAUGAGCAAGGGAUACAUUGAUUUUUUUUCUGACACAUUGUUUACUCAUCUGUGUAUUGAGGUUUGUGUGUGCCAGGUGUUGUGGUAUUCUAGCUCACUAUUUGAAGUGUACAGAAGAAUAGCAUGGGAUACCAGUGCUUGUCCUGUGAGAUUUGUGUGCAAUCUGGAUAAAAGUAAUUGGCAAGUACAUUUCCAGGAUUGUGACUAUUUUGGUGGCUUGCUUGUAAAUGGGCAAUAUUAAAAUGAAACUAAUUCAUUCUCCAUUAUACUGUAUAUCUUGCCACUCAAUGUUUCCAUAAGUUAUGUUACAGCAGACAAUAAGAGUUGUAUGUAAAUUUAUCUUAAUAAUAUAGAAAUGAAUAUACACAUGCUUGUUUACAGCAGCCUUAGAAAAUAAAGUGUUUAGAGCUCUCAA